rnacentral:rRNA from 1 species
CCGAAUGGGGAAACCCAGUGUGAUUCGUCACACUAUCAUUAACUGAAUCCAUAGGUUAAUGAGGCGAACCGGGGGAACUGAAACAUCUAAGUACCCCGAGGAAAAGAAAUCAACCGAGAUUCCCCCAGUAGCGGCGAGCGAACGGGGAGCAGCCCAGAGCCUGAAUCAGUGUGUGUGUUAGUGGAAGCGUCUGGAAAGGCGUGCGAUACAGGGUGACAGCCCCGUACACAAAAAUGCACAUAUUGUGAGCUCGAUGAGUAGGGCGGGACACGUGGUAUCCUGUCUGAAUAUGGGGGGACCAUCCUCCAAGGCUAAAUACUCCUGACUGACCGAUAGUGAACCAGUACCGUGAGGGAAAGGCGAAAAGAACCCCGGCGAGGGGAGUGAAAAAGAACCUGAAACCGUGUACGUACAAGCAGUGGGAGCACGCUUAGGCGUGUGACUGCGUACCUUUUGUAUAAUGGGUCAGCGACUUAUAUUCUGUAGCAAGGUUAACCGAAUAGGGGAGCCGAAGGGAAACCGAGUCUUAACUGGGCGUUAAGUUG